rnacentral:rRNA from 1 species
UACGGGGGGGGUAAGCGUUGUUCGGAAUUACUGGGCGUAAAGGGCUCGUAGGCGGCCAACUAAGUCAUACGUGAAAUCCCUCAGCUUAACUGGGGAACUGCGUGUGAUACUGGAUGGCUUGGAUUUGGGAGAGGGAUGCGGAAUUCCAGGUGUAGCGGUGAAAUGCGUAGAUAUCUGGAGGAACACCGGUGGCGAAGGCGGCAUCCUGGACCAAUACUGACGAUCAGGUGCGAAAGCGUGGGGAGCAAACAGG